rnacentral:rRNA from 1 species
CCUACGGGUGGCAGCAGUGGGGAAUAUUGCACAAUGGGGGAAACCCUGAUGCAGCGACGCCGCGUGAAGGAAGAAGUAUUACGGUAUGUCAACUUCUAUCAGCAGGGGAGAAAAAGACGGUACCUGACUAAGAAGCCCCGGCUAACUACGUGCCAGCAGCCGCGGUAAUACGUAGGGGGCAAGCGUUAUCCGGAUUUACUGGGUGUAAAGGGAGCGUAGGCGGCGAUGCAAGUCAGCAGGGAAAGCCCGGGGCUCAACUCCGGGACUGCUUUUGAAACUGUAUGGCUAGAUUGCAGUGGAGGCAAGUGGAAUGCCUAGUGUAGCGGUGAAAUGCGUAGAUAUUAGGAGGAACACCAGUGGCGAAGGCGGCUUGCUGGACUGUAAAUGACGCUGAGGCUCGAAAGCGUGGGGAGCAAACAGGAUUAGAUACCCCUGUAGUC